rnacentral:piRNA from 1 species
UCAGACACUAGCCAGUCUCUCCCAGAUAC